CCCGGAUUUCAAGCAAGAAAAGCGAUUUUGUCCUGGGAUUUUGUUUUCCCCACGUUUCACCGAAAAGGCAUGCACCCCGCGCGCUUAAAUAUAGUUCGGAGGGAACUCGUAAAGACAAAGAGGCGCGAGACUCGUCCCUCGAAAGCAGCUCUCCAUAUUUAGAAACUUAUCGGUUCUCGCCAUACCUGUUUCUUCUUUCCUUCCUUCCUUCCUUCCUUCCUUCAUUCAUUCAUCACCUGUCUCCGUCUCUCUGGAUUCUUCAUCGCCAAACGCUUGGACCUUCGUCGAUGUUGCUUUUGGAUUCUUAUGAUUCAAGCCGGAUCAUUCACAGGCUUGCAGCUUUCGGCAGGGCGCACUUGAUCCAUUUGUGAGGUAUAAAACGUAGGCCAUCAUGCAAGAAAUUUGUAAAGGAAGGAAAUACGUACCUCUCCAAAAGCAUUGCUGAAUCUCUUCCGUCACAAGGCCUAGUUCCAUGAAAUGGAUACAUCAGUGAUUUUUCAUGGUUGGAAGUGCGGUUUUAAGUGUUAGACAGGACUUACCUCGUUUACUUGAAAAUAUGUUCCAUUGAGUGGAAAACUCCCUCGCAUUGCGGUUCUGCAAGGCACCUGUAAUUUUGCAAUAGGGAGGUGCAGAAAGUUUAAGGGACUAAUAGCCUUUCAUCGUAUUGAAUUCAAGAGCCUGUCUGGGUCUUGAGAUCCACAACUUUGUUCUGGUGGUUGAAUCGAGUCUGCUGUUUCACCUGGAGAUUUAAGGAAAAAAUUAAAAUAGUUCCUCUUUCUGGUUAAAACAGUUAUUUUCCAUGAAACAUGAAUUUUUUUGAUGAUUUGCCCCCACUCCCUCUAGGUUAACAAAAUGGAAAAGGGGAAAGGAGGGAGGCAGAUAAAAGGAACAGAAAAUCAUUGCUUUAUAGAACUGACUACUGCUUACCAGGAGUCCAUAUUGCUAGAAGAUAUGGGCUUGGAUCAUCAGGCAGCUUCUGGGUUCAAUGCAACUAAAGCUCUAGACAUAUCACCCUCUGGGAUGUAGUUCUGCAAAGUUGUUUUGAACUCUUC